CAAUCUCCCUCGUCUCCACUCUCCACAAACCCUAGCAUUAGGCGACGACUGCGAGACUCGGCUAUCAUCGAAUAGAGCAGCUGCCACGAGGACGAAGGCUUAAGCGCAGGCGAUGAGGACGAACAGCAGCGACGACCACCAUCGGAGAGAGAAGCUUCGACGACGAACAGCGGAGGUGACGAUGAAGGGCUUGAGCGCCGGCGACGAAUGAGGAGUAAUAGCGUUGUCGACCAGCCUAGCGGCGUGAGCGGACCGGUGGCGACCUCCAGCAGCUACGGAAGCGUCGGCGGCGAGGAUAGGCGCCACAUCUCCGGCAGCGUUCGUGUUCCCAGGGUGUGUUCCAUUACGCCUAAAAGUCUAAACUAAUCGUAGAAUGUGAAGUCUUUGGUUUUAUCUUUAGAGCAGAUACUUGGAAUGCUUAUCAAGCUUGUCAAGGAUAUAAAGGCAUAAAGCUACAACAUCAGCAUAAAUAUGGAUCACCAAGCUAGCUAGCUCUACUAAUUAAAACAAAUAAAUUAGAUAUACCAAAGGACAAGCUAGCAUAUUUUUGAUUAAAGGAACUCAAGGAUGUUCACAACUUGGUGUAUCAAAGCAAGGAAGGAAGUAGGUCUUACAAAUUUGAAAGUUUUACAAAUCUCAUCCAGCAAGGUAACUGAUUGUGGUGUUACUUUUCUGCAAGGUUGUGGAUCCUUGUGAAGAUUUAACUAUGAAGAUAUUCGAAUUGCCAUACUAAAUGCAACUCAAAGGUCGUGUCUCAUCACAACUGUCCAACCUUAUCUUCGCCCCCUUUAAUUUUUCUUUGGUUAUAAUUCAUCUCCUUGUGGUUAUGAAGACAGACUUUAAUGUCAUGGAGGGUUGAAAGUUAUAAUGAAGAAAUAAUAUGUAUUAUGUAAUGAGCCAGCUAGAGAAUAAGUUAAUAAUUGAGUUUUGUUGAGUUUUAACUAGAUAAUUUUUACAAGUUAAUAGUUUUUAACUUAAAGUGAUGUAAUUUUUAUUUUUGGAAUUGCAAUUUUGAAUUUUACUGCAUAUGAACUAUGAAUGUUGAUUAUAUAGUUUCGUUAUAGAUGAUUAUUAGUUAA